rnacentral:rRNA from 1 species
UACGUAGGGUGCAAGCGUUGUCCGGAAUUAUUGGGCGUAAAGAGCUUGUAGGCGGUUUGACGCGUCUGCUGUGAAAUUUCGGGGCUCAACCCCGAACUUGCAGUGGGUACGGGCAGACUAGAGUGUGGUAGGGGAGACUGGAAUUCCUGGUGUAGCGGUGAAAUGCGCAGAUAUCAGGAGGAACACCGAUGGCGAAGGCAGGUCUCUGGGCCACUACUGACGCUGAGAAGCGAAAGCAUGGGGAGCGAACAGG